rnacentral:rRNA from 1 species
CCUUGUUACUGCGGAAGACAUUAACGAGUCUUGACUGAGUUGUAGCUGGCCUCCCGAGGCAUGUGCACGCUCGGCUCAAUCCACUCUACACCUGUGCACUUACUGUGGGUUUCGGGUUUUGCGGAGGCGGCUUAAAACACCGUCGAAGCGUGGCCCGAGCCUGCGUUUAUUACAAACACCAAUAGUCGUAGAAUGUGUAUUGCGAUGUAAUGCAUCUAUAUACAACUUUCAGCAACGGAUCUCUUGGCUCUCGCAUCGAUGAAGAACGCAGCGAAAUGCGAUAAGUAAUGUGAAUUGCAGAAUUCAGUGAAUCAUCGAAUCUUUGAACGCACCUUGCGCUCCUUGGUAUUCCGAGGAGCAUGCCUGUUUGAGUGUCAUGAAAUUGUCAACUUACAUGCCUUUGCGGGUGUUGUAAGCUUGGAUAUUGGAGGCUUGCCGGCGUUCUCUAAGUCGGCUCCUCUCAAACGUAUUAGCUCGAUUCCUUGCGGAUCGGCUCUCGGUGUGAUAAUUGUCUACGCCGCGACCGUGAAGCGUUUGUAUGGGCGGGCUUCUAAUCGUCUCUUUUGCGAGACACUUCUUUCUAUGACCUCUGACCUCAAAUCAGGUAGGCACCCCCGCUGAACUUAAGCUAUCUAAAA